AUAUACUUAUGCAAAUUGUUUUUCAACUUUGAGUUGUUCUGCAGGAUUGGUCACUAAGGACAUUUGGUCUCUACCCGGGCACAAUAAAAAAAUUGGGAUCACUUCUUAUGGACUCAUUGAGAGUGAUUCUAAUCUAAUUCAUUGCCUAUUAGAGAAGUAGAAGUCAUUCUGGUGUGAUCCUCACGGACAGAAAGAUUGCGGUCAAUUUGAUAAUGAUCAAGUGACAUUGCUUCUUUGGCCCGAACCAAGAAAUCCUUUAGAUAUGAUGUAAAAUGGAUUUUGGUCUACCGUUGAUAAGAGAUCUCUCUAUGAACAAUAUGACGAGUUUGAAGACGGGGAACGAACAAAUGCAGUAUCCCCAUGAACGAACUGAUCAUGAUUAUUUAAUAUAAAGUAAUGGUUCAAACUUCGAAAGGCUGGUGCAAAUUGUUACAACACUCUAAUGUAUUGCUACCUGAAAUACCCAUGUGGAAGUGCAGUUUGUUUUUCUCUUGCUAAUGUAUUGUUUACUGUCUUUUUAAGAGAGAACCAAAAGAUGCAUAUUAAUGAACAAUUUUUCUGGUUAAAUGUCUUUUUGUGAGAUAGUUUUACAAUGUUUCUCUAUAUAAAGCUACUACACAAUACAAUAAACAAAGGGCUUACUCAUCUUUACUUCAAAGGAGAAAAGCCAUGAACUCUUUGAAUUAUGUUGUUCAAAUCGAAAAGAACUUAUGUUUA